UGCCAGCAGCCGCGGUAAGACGGAGGGCUCUAACGUUGUUCGGAAUCACUGGGCAUAAAGCGCACGUAGGCGGCUCGCUCAGUCGGGUGUGAAAGCCCUCGGCUCAACCGGGGAAUUGCACUCGAUACUGGCGGGCUCGAGGACGGCAGGGGUAAGUGGAACUCCAGGUGGAACGGUGAAAUGUGUAGAUAUCUGGAGGAACACCGGUGGCGAAAGCGGCUUACUGGGCCGUCUCUGACGCUGAGGUGCGAAAGCUAGGGUAGCGAACGGGAUUAGAUA
rnacentral:rRNA from 1 species